rnacentral:misc_RNA from 1 species
AAGUCGUAACAAGGUUUCCUUAGGUGAACCUGCGGAAGGAUCAUUAACACGUAUCCAACGUUAAACCCCCCUGUGAACCUUUAGUGUGCUCCCUCAUUCUGUUGGAACGUUGCGCUUAAUUGUGCGGCCAUAAACCGAACAACUGUUAACAAUGGAUAUCUUGGUUCUC